CUGGGAGGAACCAGUCAAUUAGAGGAACAGGUGCUGAAGGUUAGAACCUCUCAAGUAUACAUGAUCCAUAAUCAUUGAACAUCAGAAUCAGCCGGGCCUCUUUGCCAUUUUGCUGACUCCAAGUCCCUGCCAAUUUUCUGCAGUACUGCUGCUUUGUUUUCCAAGGAGGACCAUUCAAGGGAACUUCCUUCAGCCUCAACUUCCACAGCAACUUCCCUGGUGAACACAUCACAAAUUCCCCACAAAAUCCUGAUUGUCCCCAACUUCUCUGGUGUAGUUUCCUGGCUUCGGACCCAAACACGUGGACCUGGAGCACCUGAC
rnacentral:lncRNA from 1 species